rnacentral:lncRNA from 1 species
CUUCCCAGGCAGACGUGUGUGUAGCAAGUCUGUUUAUCAGGCAACGCCUUGUAGCCAGCGGUGGCGGCUUAACAGUGGCAGAAACGCCCGCAUUGCCUCACCAGCUGCUGGGUACUAAGAUGCGCCCUUGGCCUCAGCUGGCAGAUAAGCACCUGCAUUGGAGAGGGAACCCUUGAUCAUGGGCUGAUAACCUGGCGCUUGACACUAAAGGCUUAACAUCAAAUGCAGCCAGAAAUCCAUUUCCACAGUUUUAUUGGCCAUUCUGGACGCCUCAUUUCAAAGGGAAAGAUUUGAAUUCAGAGACAUAACGUUCCCUUUGUUCUCUUGCCCUCCAGCCUUUGGUGCCAGUGUGGACUGUACUACAGGGAGAGGGUGAGAUCAAACCCCUCUCUGCUCAGCUACCUGCCCCAGAGCUGGCCCUUGGCAUGCUUAAUGAAAUCAGCUUCUCGAUAGAUUGACAAUGCCCUGUCAAUUAUAAUCAUUUAUCUUGGCAAGCAGAGCAUUGGAACACUUAAAAGAGCAGGGGUUCAGCAGGCCCAGGAAAACCAGAAUAAAAUUAUACUGCAU